rnacentral:rRNA from 1 species
UACGAACCGUACAAACGUUAUUCGGAAUCACUGGGCUUAAAGGGUGCGUAGGCGGCCAUGUAAGUGAGGUGUGAAAUCCCUCGGCUCAACCGAGGAACUGCGCUUCAUACUGCAUGGCUUGAGGGAGACAGGGGUAAGCGGAACUGAUGGUGGAGCGGUGAAAUGCGUAGAUAUCUGGAGGAACACCGGUGGCGAAGGCGGCAUCCUGGACCGAGAUUGACGCUGAUGCGCGAAAGCUAGGGGAGCAAACGGG